rnacentral:rRNA from 1 species
GAUGAACGCUGGCGGCAUGCUUUACACAUGCAAGUCGGACGGGAAGUGGUGUUUCCAGUGGCGGCCGGGUGAGUAACGCGUAAGAACCUGCCCUUGGGAGGGGAACAACAGCUGGAAACGGCUGCUAAUACCCCGUAGGCUGAGGAGCGAAAGGAGGAAUCCGCCCAAGGAGGGGCUCGCGUCUGAUUAGCUAGUUGGUGAGGUAAUAGCUUACCAAGGCCGUGAUCAGUAGCUGGUCCGAGAGGAUGAUCAGCCACACUGGGACUGAGACAAGGCCCAGACUCCUACGGGAGGCAGCAGUGGGGAAUUUUCCGCAAUGGGCGAAAGCAUGACGGAGCAAUGCCGCGUGGAGGUAAAAGGCCUACGGGUCAUGAACUUCUUUUCCUGGAGAAGAAACAAUGACGGUAUCUGGGGAAUAAGCAUCGGCUAACUCUGUG